CGAGCUUUCACAGGAAAAUGUUCUGUGCGAGUCUAAAAUCAUCCUGUUAAGUUUGUGCAAAAGAUGGGGAGUUCACCUCAUGAGCUCUGGUAGGAACAGAGUGCCUGUGAACCUCUGGGCAGCGUGGGGUUAGGGCUGGCCAUGGACAGGAGUCUAUGCCAUGAAAAACGUUCAAACCUUUUAAUUUGUUUCCAUUUCUCAUGAGGCAGAAAAAGGAAAACCUUGGGAAUUAUAUUUUUUUUUUCCUGCAAAAUGUUGUGGAAUAAGGCUGUGGAGCACAUCUUUCCUUCUGGAUGCUGUCAGCGAGGUUGGGAAUGUCUUCAGAGCUGGGAUUUGGACCUGGACCUCCCGCCACCCCUGGGCGUGUGCAUCAGGCUGUGGGUCUGAUUCAGUCUUACAGUUUUGAUGUCUCAAACAAAGGUCAGCACCUUCACAAGGCUCACAUUGACAAGUGGAUGAGACAAGCAAGUGGGCUGGAGAAGACAUCUGCCUCCAAUAUCCUGAUGGACCUCGAGGACCUGUGUGUCUGGAGGCACACAAGCAUUGCUGGAUCAAAGACUGGCCGCCAAGAUACAGUGUCUGAAUGCUGCUGCUGCUGCUGCAUUAAUGUGUGAGUAUUUAAACUGAGUUUUCUGUCUCAUCCCUUGGAGCUGCCUGCACGGGAGAGGUCUCGCCUCGUGCCUUCCCCCUCUCUGUUAUUCCUGCUCUGGGAUGAGAAAUGUGAGGCUCUUUCUCCGUUUCCAGCGUUGCACAGAUGAAAAGGCAAGUUCUCCUUUUAGCAACUUCCAGUCAUUUGUUUUUAUGCUCACCCAAGGUGUAU
rnacentral:lncRNA from 1 species